UCCCAGGUAGCUUAAUGGUAAAGCACCCAACCGGCAAUUGGGGGAUCUGGGUUCAAGUCCCGAUCUAGGCU
rnacentral:tRNA from 1 species